CCUACGGGUGACAGCAGUGGGGGAUAUUGCACAAUGGGGGGAACCCUGAUGCAGCGACGCCGCGUGGGUGAAGGAGCGUUUCGGCGCGUAAAGCCCUAUCGGCAGGGAAGAAGAUGACGGUACCUGGCCAAGAAGCCCCGGCUAACUACGUGCCAGCAGCCGCGGGAAUACGUAGGGGGCAAGGGUUAUCCGGGUUUACUGGGUGUAAAGGGGUCGCAGACGGCAAUGCAAGCCAGGGGUGAAAGCGCGGGGCCCAAACCCGGGACUGCUCUUGGAACUGCAUGGCUGGAGUACAGGAGGGGCAGGCGGAAUUCCUAGUGUAGCGGUGAAAUGCGUAGAUAUUAGGAGGAACACCAGUGGCGAAGGCGGCCUGCUGGACUGUGACUGACGUUGAGGCCCGAAGGCGUGGGGAGCAAACAGGAUUAGAUACCCCAGUAGUC
rnacentral:rRNA from 1 species